GGUAGUAUAUUAUUGUGGAAAGUAUAUUAGAUUUAAAGUCUAUGAAUGGACCUGGGUUCGAAUCCCAGCACUGCUA
rnacentral:tRNA from 1 species